rnacentral:lncRNA from 1 species
AUGAUUUUUAAGACAGAAAUAAAAAGAGAAAGAGAGAGAGAGACAGAAAAGGAAUGAAAAAGAAAAGAGCGAAGAAGACGGGGAGCAAUGCUCACUGUCCUGUUCCGGAAAAAGCUACAGGCAGGGGGCAAUAUGAAUGACGAGAAUUUUCCCAAGAAGAACCAGUGUUGAGGUUUUCCUCGUUUCUGCUGCAACACCUGAAGAGAACGACCCAGGCUGGUGGGGAGAAUUUGUAAAAUGGAUGGUCUU